CGGACAGGGAGGCGUUGUGCACCGAGAGGACGCUGCUGUGCGCGUCCGACCGCACGGUGCCCAGACUGGUGUCCAGGCCCCGCCACUGCACCAUGGGGUUCCUGGGGUCGGCGCAGGCUAGCCGGCAGCCUGGCCCCAUUUCUUGGACCUUCGUGGCCGCAUACCCCCCAGCACCCAGAGUGGUUUCAGCAACACCCCAGAGCGAAAUCUCACCGGGGCUGGAGCCUCGCGGGACCCGGAAGCCUCGGGGCCUCGGAGUGGCUGUGUCUUCCCCCUGUUCGUCUCUGCCCAAAUGUUGCCUCCUCGGAGCCUUCGCCAACCAGCUUCACUCCCCCUACCCCAAUUUUACUUUCUCCGAAGUCGUGUGCCUGAAACCACAUUUCCCAUGUCCUGGAGCCGGGUCUCCUGUGCUGUGCGGCCCAGCGCGCGACCCGGGAGCCCGCGCACAGCAGGCAUGCAGAAAGAAGAGGGUGGAGGGUGUGCUUGGGGUUGGCCUCGGGGUGUGGCUUGUGCCUCAGUUUUCCUGGCUUGGGAAUAAGGGAAGGGGCAGCCAGACAAUGAAGAGUUGAACCCCAUGAGCUCUGUGCCUGGCUCUUCUCAGUGUCUCGAUUGUCGGAGGCAGAAGAGGAGGGACUGGAGCAGAGGGGGGAAACUGAGGUCUCGGGGAGGCGAGGGUCCACGUGCGUGAACUCAGAGCCCUGUUCUCGUUGGUCCCAUCCCCCGCUCCAGGCUUGUGCCGGGAAGGGCAGCACAGGAAGGUGGACUGCUAGCCAAGGCCCCUUGCAGGGCGGGCCCUAGCUCUCUGCGCCUGCCUCGCCCACCCAUCCCUGGCCUCCAUGGUGCUUAUUUCAGGCUCCAAGUGCCCUGUCCGUGUGGAUAACGACCUUCACGCUCAAGGACACGCACAGCUCUAAGAGAGCACGAAGGAUGACCUGGUGACACAGGUGCUCCGAGGAAGGGGCAGGAGGAAGUCCUCAGUGGCCAGAGGCAGGAAGCCGCCUUCCCAUGGAGGGUCCCAGCCCCCCCAAGACCUGUCAUCCUGGCCUCAACCCUCCCAUGACAGAGCUGUGAUGGGAACCUGGCCUCCUCAGAGGGUACCCAGGAGAGGCCAGUGGUCCCAGUACCCCAGAGAUGCCCAUCCCCUCCGGGGACACCCUUCUCACCUGGGCUGGGUCAGCUGCCCUCAUUGGUACCACUGGUCGGUCGGGGGCUCACAGCGCCUUCUUCGGGGCGGGCUGGAGCCAUGAGGGCGGGGUGUUUCAUGCUGGACCAUGCCCAGCCCACAGUGGCCUCCCUGCUUCUGCAGGCCUCAGGGAUGGGGCAGGGAGGAAGGGAACGGAAACUGUAAAUGAUCCUUAUUUUGUUUAUUUAUUUUAUUAUUAUAUUUCAUGAAUGAUCCUUUAAUAAAUACCCAUAAGAAGGGUGCCUGGGUGGCUCAGUGGGUUAAAGCCUCUGCCUUCAGCUCAGGUCAUGAUCCCAGGGUCCUGGUAUC